rnacentral:rRNA from 1 species
UACGGAGGGGGCUAGCGUUGUUCGGAAUUACUGGGCGUAAAGGGCGCGCAGGCUGCUGCUCAAGUCAGGCGUGAAAGGCCUGGGCUCAACCCGGGAAUUGCGCUUGAGACUGGGUUGGCUUGAGUGCGGGAGAGGAUAGGGGAAUUCCCAGUGUAGAGGUGAAAUUCGUAGAUAUUGGGAAGAACACCGGUGGCGAAGGCGGCCAUCUGGACCGCAACUGACGCUGAGGCGCGUAAGCGUGGGGAGCAAACAGG